AGACUGGCCUGGAACUCACAGCAAUCCUCCUGCCUCAGCCUCCCAAGCGCUAAGAUUACAGGCGUGAGCCACCACGGCAAACUUUGCUUCAUUACCAAAAGGAGUGUUACUCCUAUCCUAGCGCCUAGGGAAAGGAUCAACUGGGAACCUGUCCUGAAGCAGUCUCAACAGGAUUGGCUCUAAAGUUGGCAUGACUACAAAGCCAGAUAAGUGACAUCACUAAGAAUGGAGAACAUAGCCUCCAGGUAUUUUUGGUCCCCUUAUAUAAAUUAUUUUAUCCUCGCAGCACCUACAUUAAUACAUUCUCAAAUAACAGGUAAGAAAACUGAGGUGAAGAGACGUUAACUAACUUGCCCAAUGUCAUACAACUGCAUAGUGGUAAAGAUAGGAUUCAACCUCUGGCUCUUAAUCACUGCCCCUGUAUAGCAAAAACAGUAAGGCAGCAGCCGCAGAGACUGCAAUGGCGAACUGAGCUCUUGUUCUGUACCUAAGUUUAGGUGACUACUUCACAAGGGUUAUUUCGUUUAAUACUUGCAGUAACCCCACAAGGAAUAUACUAUUAUUUUCACAUUAAAAAUGAUCAAAUUAAGAUUUAGAGAAAUUAACCUGCCUAUGCUUUUUAUCAAUGCCUACUGAUUUUAGUUGCCUAAGGUCUGGGAAGAGCUAAAAAUCCAAAAGUUCAGAAUCUAUCUCUGUUCAGGGGUUUGUCAUUACUUUUAGAAAUUACUUAACAUAAUGGCUGUCCACUGACAAUGAAAGGGUUAAAUCACGGCCCCCCAACAGUAGAACUCCAUGAAAGCCAUUUAAAGCCAUUCCAGAAUUGGAACUAACUAGACCUCCCUAGUAGAGGUCAUAAUACAGCAAUACUGAUCAAAACUUCACAAGAUAAAAAUGUAAUUUCUCCCUUGAGUCCUGGCCAGUCCUCUCUAAAAGGAUUAUAUACUAAGGUCUGACUGUACCAUCAACCAAAAAGAAGCACCAACAAAAUACACCUUCAUGAAUGGAAGAUCUUUCCAGCCUGGUCUGCUCAGCACUGCCGCACUGCCCUCAACAAAAUGAAAGUAGUGCAGACAACCAACUCAGAGAGAAGUCAGGAAAUUCUACAGGACUAUGAUAAGCAAUGUAUGGCUUUCAACUUGCUGGUGUUUGUUAUAUAAUUUGUUAUAGUGCUAAAAAGUAAAAUAUUUAAUACGAAAAGGGUUUGUCUCUGGGAAUAUCAAAGUUAUGAGAAACGAAGUAUUUUGUCCCAUUCUGCACUAGAGAAUUCCUAAAGGACACCAAGGAAUCAGGUACAUGUGGGGACUAGCACAAAGACAGCACAUCCUAGACUAAAGUUAAAAAGAUUAUGUUUGACAAAGGGCUGAGAAGUUCACCUCCGAGGAUUCCAGUUUGUUUCCAGAAGCAAUUCCAAACCAGGCUAGCAGAGGUUAUUAGAAUUUCUAAAAGGACAAA